CUGCGGAGGAUCAUUGUCGAGUCCCUCUUUAUGAGAUUGAGAACGUGUAGCAUUACCCAUCGAGAACAAGCCAGUUUUGCAUGUGCACUCGGCUUUCUAGAUGGAUGUCCUUUUGCCGCCUUUGGCUUGCUUUAUUCGAGGCAACACGGGGAGCGGGAAUUAGACCCGGCGUAGUUUACGCCAAGGACGGUUGUUGUUGGAGUGCACCGUCUUCUUUUUGUUGUGCGGUGUAAUUCUCCUACUAGUGUGAGAAUAUGCAUGACUCUUGGCAACGGAUAUCUAGGCUCUCGCGUCGAUGAAGAACGUAGCGAAAUGCGAUACUUGGUGUGAAUUGCAGAAUCCCGUGAACCAUCGAGUCUUUGAACGCAAGUUGCGCCUAAGACCAUCAGGUCGAGGGCACGUCUGCUUGGGCGUCACGCCUUGCGUCACUCAGAGCACCUACCUACCUUAAACCGUCAUGCGGGUUUCGGUUUGUCCUGAUGUGGAUAUUGACUCUUCGCGCUCUGUACGCGUGGUGGGUUUAAGUGAUGGUUGUUGCUAGGUUUGCACGCGACGAAUGGUGGAUAGAUUAUACUCAUCAAGCCUCCAGCUACGCACGUGACUCCUAGCCAUGACGUACAAGAAGUAAAACCCACAACGAUGUUUGCACCUUUUGCAAGAUCGGACCAUGACCCCAGGUCAGGCGGGGCCACCCGCUGAGUUUAAGCAUA
rnacentral:rRNA from 1 species